rnacentral:rRNA from 1 species
AGUGAACGCUGGCGGUGUGCUUAACACAUGCAAGUCGAACGAAGAACGGUACUAAAGUUUACUUUAGUUGUACAGCUAAGUGGCGCACGGGUGAGUAAUCUAUAGCUAACCUACCCUAAAGAGGGGGAUAAUUAAUGGAAACGUUUUGUAAUACCCCUAGUACCUCUUAUUCUACACAAGUUAUAUAAGAGAAAACUUUAGUGCUUUAGGAUGGGGCUGUAUUGUAUCAGCUAGUUGGUGGUGUAAUGGACCACCAAGGCUAUGACACAUAACUGGUUUGAGAGGAUGAUCAGUCACACUGGAACUGAGACACGGUCCAGACUCCUACGGGGAGGCAGCAGUGGGGAAUAUUGCACAAUGGGGAAAACCCCUGAUGCAGCAACACCGCGUGGAGG